UGAUAUCAGGUAAGAGUACCCACUGGAUUUAAGCAUAUAACUAAGUGGAGGAAAAGAAACUAACAAGGAUUCCCCUAGUAACGGCGAGUGAAGCGGGAAGAGCUCAAUCUUAAAAUCUCUAUAUUAAAUUGUAGUGAAUUGUAGUCUAUUGAAUUGGUUUUGCAAUGAACAUAUGGAAAAGUCCCUUGGAAGAGGGCAGCAUAGAGGGUGAUACUCCCGUCUUUGCCGUAUGAUUUAUUGUAUUAAUUCCUCUUUCAUUGAGUCGAGCUGCUUGGGAAUGCAGCUCAAAGCAGGUGGUAAAUUCCAUCUAAAGCUAAAUAUGUGUGUAAGACCGAUAGCGAACAAGUACCGUGAGGGAAAGAUGAAAAGAACUUUGAAAAGAGAGUUAAACAGUACCUGAAACUGCUGAAAGGGAAUCGGAUUGUUGCCAGUGUGAUCCAAUACAUAUUUCAAUAGUGAGUAAUCGUUGUUGCCCUGUGUGUUGGUGUGAUGUUAGGGUCAAUUGAUUUUGCAAGAAAUUGGUAAGAGGGAGGUAGGUGAUAUUUUCGGAUAUGACUAUUAUAUUCUUUUGCUAGUGUUGUGAAUGAGAUUGAGGAAACAAUGUGCAAUUUAUUUACUUUUCAUCUUUUUUGACUUAUUUAUUUUACAGCUUGCUGUUAUUUAAGUAAUGUUUUGAGAAACUUGAUAUGUAGACAAUGCCAUUCGGGACCCUGACAAAAUGGAGCAAUCUGUCCCGUCUUGAAACACGGACCAAGGAGUCUAACAUGUAUGCAAGUAUUUAAGUGGUAAACUUAAAUGCAUAAUGAAAGUGAAUUAAAGCAUUUAGCUUUAUAAGGUAGGAAGAGUUUUACUCUGCACUAUCAACCGAUCUAGAACCUUCGGGUAAAAGAUUUGAGUAUGAGCAUGUAUGUUGGUACCCGAAAGAUGGUGAACUAUGCCUGAAUAGGGUGAAGCCAGGGGAAACUCUGGUGGAGGCUCGUAGCGGUUCUGACGUGCAAAUCGAUCGUCAAAUUUGGGUAUAGGGGCGAAAGACUAAUCGAACCAUCUAGUAGCUGGUUCCCUCCGAAAUUUCCCUCANGAUAG
rnacentral:rRNA from 1 species